UACAGAGGUCCCAAGCGUUGUCCGGAUUCAUUGGGCGUAAAGAGCUCGUAGGCGGCUUGGCAAGUCGGGUGUGAAAACUUCAGGCUCAACCUGGAGCGGCCACUCGAUACUGCCAUGGCUUGAGUCCGGUAGGGGACCACGGAAUUCCUGGUGUAGCGGUGAAAUGCGCAGAUAUCAGGAGGAACACCGGUGGCGAAGGCGGUGGUCUGGGCCGGAACUGACGCUGAGGAGCGAAAGCGUGGGGAGCGAACAGG
rnacentral:rRNA from 1 species